GACGAAAUAGUUUAGUGGUUAGAACAGUAGAAUCAUAAUCUAUUAGUCGUAGGUUCGAACCCUACUUUCGUUA
rnacentral:tRNA from 1 species